GGGGUUAUAGCUCAGCUGGGAGAGCGCUUGCAUGGCAUGCAAGAGGUCCGCGGUUCGAUCCCGCGUAGUUCCACCA
rnacentral:tRNA from 2 species